rnacentral:rRNA from 1 species
UCUCUCAAUUGUCUAAACGACUCUCGGCAACGGAUAUCUCGGCUCUCGCAUCGAUGAAGAACGUAGCGAAAUGCGAUACUUGGUGUGAAUUGCAGAAUCCCGUGAACCAUCGAGUCUUUGAACGCAAGUUGCGCCCGAAGCCUUCUGGCCGAGGGCACGCCUGCCUGGGCGUCA